rnacentral:rRNA from 1 species
CCAUACCUACGGGACGCAGCAGUAGGGAAUUUUCGUCAAUGGGCGCAAGCAUGAACGAGCAAUGCCGCGUGAACGAGGAAGGUCUUCGGAUCGUAAAGUUCUGUUGAAGGGGAAAAAGAGCGGAGAGAGGAAAUGGUCUCCGAUUGAUAUUACACUUCGAGGAAGUCACGGCUAACUACGUGCCGGCAGCCGCGGUAAUACGUAGGUGGCGAGCGUUAUCCGGAAUGAUUGGGCGUAAAGGGUGCGUAGGCGGCCUGCU